ACUUAUUGUAAGUUAAUAAAAACUGAUGAUUUGUGGAGUCAUUUAUCUUUUUUAAAGCUUAAGUA
rnacentral:tRNA from 1 species